rnacentral:lncRNA from 1 species
UCGUGCCCUUUCAGCUCCGUAACCUUUGAAAUGAAGUGGUGUAACACUCAUCUCCUGAUAUUCUAGCUGAGUUGCAAUCCACUUCUGACUUCACUUCCUCGGUUAGGUCAAUCAGUUCCUUUCUUUAUCAAAGUCCAGCUAUUGGAAGAAUCGAUACGGCUGGUUGAUCUUUUCUUCUAAAGUCUUCCCUACCUGCUUCCUUACUUCCCUUGAAUGGGAUGGUACCGCCCCUAUCUUUCCUUCUGACUAUGGGCGGGUUGCUUUACGUUCUUUGCCCUCAUCGAAAGGGAGACUCAAUCUCAUCUUCAAAUAGAUUAAGUAAUGUGUACUUGAUG